rnacentral:rRNA from 1 species
GAUGAACGCUGACAGAAUGCUUAACACAUCAGCAAUUGAUUGGUGGCGGACGGGUGAGUAACGCGUAAAGAACUUGCCUCACAUCUAGGGCCAACAUUUGGAAACGAAUGCUAAUACCUAAUACUGUGGGAGAGCUUUGCGUCCCAUUAGCUAGUUGGAGAGGUAACGGCUCACCAAGUCGAUGAUGGGUAGCCGGCCUGAGAGGGUGAUCGGCCACAAGGGGACUGGGACACGGCCAUUACUCCAACGGGAGGCAGCAGUGGGGAAUAGUGGAAAAAAGACCAAAGUCUGAUGAAGCAAUUCUGUGUGCACGAUGAAGUUUUCGGAAUGUAAAGUGCUUUCAGUUGGGAAGCGGUACCAACAGAAGAAGUGACGGCUAAAUACGUGCCAGCAGCCGCGGUAAUAC